GUCCGGGAUUCGGCAAUAAAUAUCCUUGGAUUCAUGACACACAGAAACUCGGAGGAGAGCAAGAGCACAGAUCAAGAGUGAAGCGCACUUGCUUUGGGAGGAGGAUUUGACAGAAACAUCCACAUGACAUCAUGAGUUUUUCACUGACACUGUUGCUGCUUCUACCUGCUCUAUACUGUGCUGCAGAUAAUACAGUUUUGCAUCACAGACAGAAGCGAGAUUCACUCCUUUAUAAUGAGGUUUGUGUGGACAGCCAUUCGGCCGUGGUCAGGGACAUCGGGGUGACUUGGUUGCGAUGGAAGGGUCUGAAAGUGGAAUUCUGCCGCUGCGCAUCACGAGGAAGAGUGCAGUGUAAAGAAAUACCAG